rnacentral:lncRNA from 1 species
GUUAAAUGGCCAGCAGGAAUUAUCCACUAGAGAAGCGGAAGGGAGAGAAUGGAAAUGGCCGCAUGCAGCUCCUCUCCCUCAGACAGCUCGGGGCUCAGCGGAAUGAGCACAGUCUGCAGGACAAGUGCGGAGGACUUCAGUCCCCUCUACUGUAUAUUGGCUUUAGGACUCAAGUUGUCCCUGAAAUAGAGGAAGGUGUUUUCUAGGGUAGUGGUAAUUAUCACAGUCAAAAAAGUAGGCGAGAGCACUUAGGAAAACUGUGCGGAGAUCGGCUGCUGAUGUGUAAAUACUGCUGAAGCUGCUUAUUCAAGAUUAGAAAACCUGAGACCCAGACGGGGGAAACUGCUUUCCAUGGUUAAUCGUCAACAACUGGCCAGGAUGGGACAGAAGCCCAUACAUAGCCUUCAUUCCAGGGCUCAGAACAAAAAGAAGGCAGUGGCCUGGGCUGCACCUGAGCUUGGCUUCACAUAGGAGGGAUUCUGGAACGCAGGAUCCUGACAACGACCUCAAGCCCCUGUAAAGCAACACAUUUUUUGGCAAGAAUCCCUGGGACAGAGAAAGAAUUUCUUCUCACUUAUUAUUGAGAAUGUUCUCAUGUCUUGCAAGGCUCACUGCCCAGUAGAAGCUGAAAAGAUUCAGUAUGAGUAAAAGAAGAGAUCUGAAAUUUGCAGCUUGUCAUAGAAAGAACUGAGACUACCAUACACCUAAGAAGUCAAAGUUGCUAUUCAAGGGGAAGUGCAAACACAAGAUGAGGGAAACUGAUGUAUUUAGUGUCUACAUUUUACAAAUGGAUGCUUUUCAUAAUAUGAAAAUACUGCACCAUAAGAUUGCCAGUCACAACAGCACGGCUACAGUGAAAAUUGUCAGUCUUUUUUUUUUCCAGGAUCCCAGUGGAUUUGUUACGGUGAGAAAGCUUCACUUGGAGACAAAGCCAAAACCUUCCUCCCAGGCUCCCUUGGAUGUAGGGGGAAGCAAACUGGCUGUCCAGGCCUCUGAGCCACAUCUACACACCUCAUGAGAGGGCCUGUGCAACAUUGCCUUAGAGAUGGAGAGCAUUGCUUCAGAAUCAGGGAAGCCUAAAUUUCACCCCUGGGGCUGCCCCUUGUGAUCUUGAAUGGCUCCUGACAAGAGGCUGCUGGGGAGGCUCCUGCUCCCUGCCUUUCGGGACUGCCGUGGAUUGCCCAUUGAUGGGUCAAAAUCCAGCUACCUGGUAAUUCAAUGAGUCCCUAGUGUGCAUCCAAUAAAUUAUCUUCUGUUUAAAUUAGAACAAACUGUUUUUAAUCUGUGUGCUAAGAAUCUCAUUAAAUGCAUCAUAAAUUUCAAAAUCAAAAACUAAAAAAAAAAAAAAA